GUGGCUCAGUUGGUAGAGCUGUUGCCUGGCAGCAAGAAGGUUCUGGGUUCAAUUCCCAGC
rnacentral:tRNA from 1 species